GCGGCGAGCGAACGGGGAGCAGCCCAGAGCCUGAAUCAGUGUGUGUGUUAGUGGAAGCGUCUGGAAAGGCGCGCGAUACAGGGUGACAGCCCCGUACACAAAAAUGCACAUGCUGUGAGCUCGAUGAGUAGGGCGGGACACGUGGUAUCCUGUCUGAAUAUGGGGGGACCAUCCUCCAAGGCUAAAUACUCCUGACUGACCGAUAGUGAACCAGUACCGUGAGG
rnacentral:rRNA from 1 species